CGCACUUGAGCUGUGUACAGUCGUGUUGCUUCAUCCAGUAUCAGCCCUGGUCUAUUAAGUCCAUGUUGGGUUGUUGAAACAAUGUUGAUGUGUUGUGAAAUUUUAGCUCCUGUUUGUAGGUUGUGUCAGGGGUACCGAUAUACAGUGUGUUAUCCAUGUGUAUAUCAUGCUUGUAAGUUGUGUCGGGGGUACCAAUAUACAGUGUGUUAUCCAUGUGUAUAUCAUGCUUGUAAGUUGUGUCGGGGGUACCAAUAUACAGUGUGUUAUCCAUGUGUAUAUCAUGCUUGUAGGUUGUGUUAGGGUUACAGAUAUACAGUGUGUUUUCCAUGUGUAUAUCAUGCAUGAAGGUUGUGCAGAGUUACAGAUAUACAGUUUGUCAGCCAGGUGUAUAUCAUGCAUGUAGGUUGUGCAGAAUUAAAGAUAUACAGUUUGUCAGCCAGGUGUAUAUCAUGCAUGUAGGUUGUGCAGAGUUACAGAUAUACAGUUUGUCAGCCAGGUGUAUAUCAUGCAUGAAGGUUGUGCAGAGUUAGCGAUAUACAGUGUCAUCCGGGUGGUAACAGUGUAUAAGUUUAUGUAGACUUAAUCAACACUACCUUGUUACUCUAUACUGUACACAGAUCUGUCUUCCAGCACUGAUGGCAGAGAUACUUACGCUUAAUAUUUGCAGGACUAUCUUCACAGCCAUAAAUACUGUGGACAUUAUCCACAGAACAAAGCUACAGAUAAACUUUUAACAUGACAUUUAAAUUGCAACUUUUGCAUUAUUUACAAGAAACAUCUUCAGUCCAAUCAAGUAUUUCAAAAGAUAAAAGUUCCAUAGUCGAAUAUUUACAGUCUGCUGUCAAAAAAACUAUAUGCCCAGACCAGUGUACUGGUCAUGUACUGAUCAUUGCUAAUUGGUCAAAUGUCAAAUGGUAGGAGUUCAGGCCUAAAAAAAAAGGUUGUGGUUCCGAUUACCCGACUGACCCUAUUAUUUUUUUAAGGGGUAUGAAUAAAAGAAGCGUCCAGUUUCCAUUAUUUUUUCCCAGCACUGACGGACAUUGGUCAUUCUGUCAGAGAAAGUCAACAUGAUGGCCUCAAGCUCGAUUGAAUAAACACAUACACAUUGAUAAAAGUGUUAUUAGUUUGUACUUCUAAAAAUUACCUGCCUACCCGUAAUUUUAAAGAGGUGUAAUCGGAACCACAACAUUUUUUUAUUUGGCCUCAAUCUAAAAUUUUUUGAAAAUGUCCUCUUUGAUUUGAGGCUCAGUUCAUAAAUAUUUCAAACAAAAAAAGCUCAAAUCAUUCUUUAUUUGCUUCUAGUUUUGCUACAUUUUGGGUACGAAUUAUCUUUAAAUAAGGAAUAUAGCUGUGUGCUUGGUUACUUUGCAAGGAAGAAGAGUAAGGGAAAAAUAACUAUAUCAAUCAAUAUAUUCUGAAACCUGGUCUCACCUACCAACCCUAUAUCAAUAAUGAUGUUGACACAUGGAUAUAUUUCAUGUACAUAUGUUGAUUUUGAACAUUUGUUGUUUAACAGAUAAGGAAUGUGUACUGCUGCAAACCAAUUUCAAAGCUGAGCAAUACUUCGUAUUUCAUUUGUUUGUACCACUCAUGUAUAUAUUUAUGUCACUUUUACAUAAUUUGCAUUUGAAUGCAUUUGAAAACCUUUUGUAUGUUUAUCAAGAUAUAGAAUUUUGAUGUGAUCAAAUGACAUGCUUUCUUUACACAAGAACAUUUAACUAUGCUUUAUUUAUUAAGUGUGCAUUAAAGGUUAUUGACAUGGAAAAAAUUACCAUUUAUAAUCAGAUUGCCUGCAGUGCUAGUGAUAGGCGUGACAUGUCAGUUUCAUUCAGGUUGUGGUGACCAUAAUGGCGUCUCAGGCUGAUUGUGUUUUCUCAUCCAGGUCAUUAGUUUCAGUUUUAACAUUUCUAUUUAAAUUUAAUGCUCUGUGUGAAUUUAUUUUGCUUCUAAUAAUUUUGUAUUAAACAUGCAGAAAUAUU
rnacentral:lncRNA from 1 species